AGAUUGAUCAAAAUGUUUUGUUUUUUGUUUCUACACGCAUUGAGCAGAAACAGGCAGACGUCAAAAAUCAUAGCUAUCUAGUGACCCUUUAAAUGAGGCUUGCAUCAAAUCAUUCUUUUACAUGAUGUAAGUGCUGCUGAAGCCCUGCUGAGUCAGAGUCCACAAAUCAAACAGCCCCUAGAAACCUGCCCUUCUCUGGCAGGGUUAGGGCUGAGACUGGGCCCUCAGACCAUUUGGAAUGACCAGUGAUUUCAGCUCUCACUCCCUUCUCAUCAGCACGUGUCUACAGUUGCAAGUUCUCACUCUGUAGCCCAGUCUGGAGUGCAGUGGUACAAUAAUGGCUCACUUCAGCUUUGACCUUCCAGGCUCAAGCGGUCCUUCUACCUCAGCCUCUGGAGCAACUGGAACCACGGGUGCACCCCACCACGCCCAGCUAACUUUUGUAUUUUUUUGUAGAGACAGGGUUUUGCCAUGUUGCUCAGUCCCAAUAUCAUCACCAGAUGAGAAUAUGUAUGGAUUCAUGAACAAGAAAAUUGCUUAACCAUUUGAUCAAGAGAGAUUGGAAAAUCAAGAUGAAGCAGGUCUGGGUGAAAGAGCUGUGAAUGGAUUAAUGGAACAGAAAGGAGGUGUGGAGAUCCUUCUAUUACAUGUUAAUGAUCACCAGGGAACAUCCACUACAAUAGAACAUCCCACUAAAUCACCAGUAGACACAAGAGAAUAUGUGGCCAGUUGACUUUGGCCAGCCUCUGUCAUUAGAUGUCAAUGUUCAAACAACGGUACAUGAAUGGCAUAGCCCUGGUAGCAGGAGUGGGGGCUAUGCAUGGAUCCAGCAAUACACACUCCCACUCCACAACAUUGACCCAGCCACCAAGGCUGACAAAAUAUUCAACCUUCCAGCAACAGAAACCAAGGAUGACCCUUAUCCCUGCCCAGGGCCUCAGCUGGCACCAGCAUCUAAAGGCUUAGAGAGUUAGUGAUCCACCAACAUGGCAUCUCACAUAACAUCCCAUCAAACCAAGUGACCCACUUUACUAGAAAUGAGGUGCACGAGUGGACAAGCUCCAGCUUGACCCAAGUGGAACAAGCUCUACUAGUCCCAUCAGAUCAUGCACCAUCCAGAAGCUGCCACACUAACAGAGUGAUGGAAAGGCCUGUUGAAGGCAUAGUGGAUGAGCCACACCAUUGCAAGGUAAUGUCAUCGGAGGUUUAUUUAGCAUGUGUAUUACACCCAGAAGAAUGGUGUCCCAUCCUUGCAAGGUAAUGUCAUCAUCAGAUUCUCCUGGGUGUAAUAUACAUGCUAAACAAACAAUCAUUAUAUGAUGCUGUGUCCCCAAGAGGUAAAAUAUGUGGGAGCUAAGGAGUGGAAGCAGCAAUAGCCUCACUUACCAUCAAUACAAUUGACUCCUUAGGGAACUUGUGCCUAGGCUCUGUGGGUUUAGAGGUCCUGGUGCCCAAAGGAGAUGUGCUUCCAUCAGGGAAUACAACAAGCAUUCAAUUGAACAUGAGGUUAAGGCUGCCACUUGGGAGCAUCAGGCUCCUCAUGCCAAGAGAUCACCAAGCAAAAAGAGGAAUCACCGUACCAUGAGCAUUAAUCAAUCCCAUUCUUCAGAAGGAGAUGGGACUGCUGACACAAGGCCACAGAGAGGCCCCCAGAUAACUUGCCUGGGUGUCCCUUAGAAUUCCCUUGCCCAUUUUUUAAUAAUAGAUGGAUAAAUGCAACAGUCUCCACCUAACAAAGGCAUAAUGAUGGGACUUCUCAAGAGUGAGAAGCUAGGUCAUUCCACCAGCCAAGUAGACCAGCAGAGGUACCAAAAAGAGACAGGAAAUCUAGACUGUAAAGUAAAACAGGAAGAUUCCCCAGGAACAGAAGCCAACUGUGAUCCUAGAGGAGCUUCUCCUUAACAUGCAGAAAGAAGUGGAUCCAUGAAGCACAAGAGCUGAGCUGUCAUGGAAACUGCACAUCUCAAAUUUCCCAUCAGGACUGAAGGACCUAGUCCCCCACAGGCUGAAGACAGUCACCUUACCCAACUUCAUGCUCUCUUCCAGGGGCAGCCUGCAUCCAACAACUUGUCAGCACAGGACUAUAAAGGCCUUACCCUUUGCCUCUGUGAAGCAUCCCACAGAGAGGUGCAUCCACCUCUGAAGGUACAUCCCAGCUUCAGGCUCCCAGUCACUUUGGGCUUACCCAGCCUCUUCGUCUGCCCUGCUUUUCUCCCUCCCCUUCCUUCCUGCAGGUUUGGAUCCUGAGAGCACUCCCUAAUAAACCUCAUGCCCACAAAUCUCUAUCUUGGAAUCUGCUUCUUCGGAACCAAAUCUGGGACAGAUCAAUUUACAAAGAUAGAAGGGUUUAGGAAGGCAAAAGGGUUUCUGUUACCAUGUCUAGGCCUGAAGGGACAAAGAGAGGAACUUGGAGCAAGAGCCAUAUGGAAAAAACAAUCUGAAAGAUUGUAGGGAUUCUGGCAGAAGCACAAGGCCAAGCCCUGGCAAUCCCCACCUCACAUCCCUCCGCUCUUUCAUCUCCCCUUAGUGCCUCCCAUUGUAGAACCAAACUGGAAGUGGUGGUCAGUGGAUUCCUUUGUCUGUUUCUUAUAGGUCAGCCUCCUGGGGCAGAGAGCAUGUUAGAGUGUGGAUUUGGAGGUGCAAAUGAAAGUUACCCUGUAGCCCACUUGACUCUGUAGAUUUCUUUUUCUCUUACAGAAAAUAAAUUAAAUUAUGUAUCUUCUUUAGAGAUAGGGUAUGACUUCUAUUUUGAGUUAUCUGUGUCAUUUAAUUAAUAUACAAAUAAAAUGACAUGACAGAAAAUACUUACUUGAAUACAAAGGACAAGUAAUUAGAUCUUAGAUAAUAAAUCCAUCCCUUUAGAUAAGACUUUAGGCAAAUGGAUUUAUAAGUAAAAGCAAUAGGAAAACUUGCUACCUAAGCAUGAAAAAUGAUGUUCCUGAUAAAUUCCUGGAAGGAAGCUGGUGUCAGCCCCCAACUCCUUUCUAGGCCUCUACCAGCCUAUAUUCCAAAUGGCCCUGCCAUGGCUCUUCUUUUCUUAAGAUUUGAUCUUUCUCCAGGCAUGGAUGAACCACAUGUAAGACAUUUAAACAGCCCAGGUGCCAAAUUUAGUAGGGCUUAGGAUUACACAACAUUCCCAAACCUGGGAUCUGAAGGGCCAGGUGCUGACCAACAGGAUCCCAAAUUCAUCCCAGGGGCUCUUUGACCGAUAACCAGAAUGUGAAUUCAACUGCUGGAUGACCCCAUGCAAAGCUCUCCCUGGCGCUGAGUAAUCCAGUUCCCUUUUCAUUAAAAGCCAUCUACUUUCCCAGGAGGGGGAAUCCUUCUGCACAGCCCAUUCCUAUGACUAAGCUCUGUGUUCACAAGGAAGAUCUCCUCUCAGUCCUGCUAUGCCCCCACUGCUGAGCUUGGAACCCCAAUACUAAGUAUAGCCUGUGUCACAAUUGUUCUUGCUGAGAUCUUCUACUAUUGCCUGAACACAACUCAUUCCUGAUCCCCUCUAGUGAGUAUGUCCCUGGCCAUUUUUCAGCACUUUUAUCCUCUUUUCUUGCUCUGAGUUUUCAUGGACAGGGUAUCUAGGAAAAGGAAAAGGAAGAAGGAAUAAAUCAAAUGCCUACAGACCUUCAAAGAGUGCUCCAAAGCCAGUGUAAAGCACUGGGGAACAGUGAGGAUUAGGGCAAAAUAUUUCUUAUAAUGUUCUGAGUUUCAUGAGUUGAAGGCUUUAGUGCUUAAUGUCCAAAUGAUGCAAAUGAAAACACCCUUUCAUUCUUCUUUUCCUUUUUAAAAAACAAGGAAGAAGACAGUCAAAGCCUCAGUCUAUACUAUAUUUACACUUGACUCAAAUGCAUUAAUAACAUUGUAGACUAAGGAGGUAUCUGGGGGAAAAAUAGUUUUGUGAUUUAACUGUAGUGCAAAUUUUACCUAGUAAAAGGUUUUUGAUAUUUAUCCUCAGAGAAGAUCUA
rnacentral:lncRNA from 10 species